rnacentral:rRNA from 1 species
UACGAAGGGGGCUAGCGUUGCUCGGAUUGACUGGGCGUAAAGGGCGCGUAGGCGGUUCGUACAGUCAGACGUGAAAUUCCUGGGCUCAACCUGGGGGCUGCGUUUGAUACGUGCGGACUUGAGUGCGGAAGAGGGUCGUGGAAUUCCCAGUGUAGAGGUGAAAUGCGCAGAUAUCAGGAGGAACACCGAUGGCGAAGGCAGCUCGCUGGGACGGUACUGACGCUGAGGCGCGAAAGCGUGGGGAGCAAACAGG